rnacentral:rRNA from 1 species
ACUGCUCAGUAACACGUGGAUAACCUGCCCUUGGGUCCGGCAUAACCCCGGGAAACUGGGGAUAAUUCCGGAUAACGCACAUAUGCUGGAAUGCUUUAUGCGUAAAAUGGAUUCGUCUGCCCAAGGAUGGGUCUGCGGCCUAUCAGGUAGUAGUGGGUGUAAUGUACCUACUAGCCAACAACGGGUACGGGUUGUGAGAGCAAGAGCCCGGAGAUGGAUUCUGAGACAUGAAUCCAGGCCCUACGGGGCGCAGCAGGCGCGAAAACUUUACAAUGCGGGAAACCGUGAUAAGGGGACACCGAGUGCCAGCAUCAUAUGCUGGCUGUCCGGGUGUGUAAAAUACACCUGUUAGCAAGGGCCGGGCAAGACCGGUGCCAGCCGCCGCGGUAACACCGGCGGCCCGAGUGGUGAUCGUGAUUAUUGGGUCUAAAGGGUCCGUAGCCGGUUUGGUCAGUCCUCCGGGAAAUCUGACGGCUUAACCGUUAGGCUUUCGGGGGAUACUGCCAGGCUUGGAACCGGGAGAGGUAAGAGGUACUACAGGGGUAGGAGUGAAAUCUUGUAAUCCCUGUGGGACCACCUGUGGCGAAGGCGUCUUACCAGAACGGGUUCGACGGUGAGGGACGAAAGCUGGGGGCACGAACCGGAUUAGAUACCCGGGUAGUCCCAGCCGUAAACGAUGCUCGCUAGGUGUCAGGCAUGGCGCGACCGUGUCUGGUGCCGCAGGGAAGCCGUGAAGCGAGCCGCCUGGGAAGUACGGCCGCAAGGCUGAAACUUAAAGGAAUUGGCGGGGGAGCAC